GGAAGAGUGGGUGAGUUGGCUUAAACCAGCAGUUUGCUAAAUUGCCGAAGGAGCAAUCCUUCCAAGGGUUCGAAUCCCUUCUCUUCCGCCA
rnacentral:tRNA from 3 species